rnacentral:tRNA from 6 species
GCCACGGUAGCUCAGUCGGUUAGAGCGCGGGACUCAUAAGCCCGAGGUCGGUGGUUCGAUUCCACCCCGUGGCACCA